rnacentral:rRNA from 1 species
GGGGAAUAUUGGACAAUGGGCGCAAGCCUGAUCCAGCCAUGCCGCGUGAGUGAUGACGGCCUUAGGGUUGUAAAGCUCUUUCAACGGUGAAGAUAAUGACGGUAACCGUAGAAGAAGCCCCGGCUAACUUCGUGCCAGCAGCCGCGGUAAUACGAAGGGGGCUAGCGUUGUUCGGAAUUACUGGGCGUAAAGCGCACGUAGGCGGAUACUUAAGUUAGGGGUGAAAUCCCGAGGCUCAACCUCGGAACUGCCUUUGAUACUGGGUAUCUCGAGUAUGGUAGAGGUAAGUGGAACUCCGAGUGUAGAGGUGAAAUUCGUAGAUAUUCGGAAGAACACCAGUGGCGAAGGCGGCUUACUGGACCAUUACUGACGCUGAGGUGCGAAAGCGUGGGGAGCAAAC